ACCUUAGAGACCAACUAAGUUUGUUCUGGGUAUAAGCUUUUGUGUGCAUGCACAUGAAAGCUUAUACCCAGAACAAACUUAGUUGGUCUCUAAGGU